CAGAAGAUGAUGUCGAUUAACUGAUAAUCUAUUUAUGCAUUGGUCAAGAACUCAGAUUUUGGCGUUCAAUAUAUAUCAAGCCGAGAAGGAACUUUUGAAUCAGUUACCAAUCACGCUUCCUAAGAAACUUGAUUAACUUGUAAAACGGAAAAACAGUUUACAUAAUAUAUUUUUUUUCACUAUGGCCAAGUUACCGAUCUUGUUACUUUUGGUUGCAAUUGCUGUAGCAGUCUUAUCCGCUCCAACUCAAGACGAAGAUUCUCUUCAUCAUGAGAAUAAUGGAUCUCAACUGGACUUUGGAGGAUUUCGUUUCCCUCCUAUGGCGUGUGGUAUUGCCAACGGCUUCAAUAUCGCUAAUUUUGCUUGCAUGACUUUAUGUCAAACUGUGAAUCAAACCUCAGGAUCUUGUGAAAACGACGAAUGUAUUUGUAAAUAACAAUACCAUUUUAAAGUUAUAUCGAUUCCUGUGUAAAUACUUUCAGAAUUAUCAUUAUCGAACACAGAAAUCGUAUUUUUGAUAUUUUAUAUUAUAAUGUAGCAUUUAUUAGCCUUCUUGAUUUGAAUUAAUUAAAUAAAAGGUAUAUAACCCUUCAUUCGAUGACAUUAACGUUUAAUUAAUAUUUUAAAGUAUAUGUGCUUUCCUACUAUAAAUUUCCCAAUAAAAAAAAAAAAAGUUACCAUGUGACUUGAAGUAGGUUGAAGAAGAAUUUUUACACAUAGAAGUACACUGUAAAAAAUUCGCCGAGUGAAUGCGGAUUAAAUCCGGAGUGAAUGCGGAGUGAAUGAAUUUUUAAUUAUUCACUCCCCUCGGAGUAAAAUUCACUCCGCAGGGGAGUUUUCGCGGAGUGGAUAAUUUUUUAUAAAUUUUGUCCCUCUGGAGUGAAUUUCACUCCGGAGGGGAGUUUUAAAAAUACUAUUAAUAAAAUAUAACUUUACUAAGUUAAAUCGAAAUAAAAAUUUACGUAUUACAGUACUGAUCAACACACGCACACCCGAACACACAUACGCGCACACCCGAACGCACGCAUUCAUUCGCACAUACCCAAACACAUCCGAAAACACACACGCACACAUUUGCACACUCGCACGUGCACUCACGCACGCACACACAUCCACAGACACACGCACACAGACACCCGCACGCACGCAAUCGCACUCACGCACACACGCUGUUUAACAGUUUAAUAUAAAUUAAUUUAAAUGUUAAAACUCCGGACCGAAGUGAAUUCGGAGUGAAAUAAAAUCCGCAUCACUCCGAGAUCACACCGCUAAAAAAAAACUCCCAAUUCACUCCGCAUGCACCGUAGUGAUUUUUUUUAAAACUCCGAUAGGCGGAGUGAAUCCGGAGUUAAUUCGGAUUUAAUUUCAAUCCGGAUUCACUCCGGAUUUUUUACAGUGUAUUUAUUUGAGCCAAAUAAGAUUUAUUAAUAGUUAAUAAAUGAUUUAUUAAAUGAGAAUUAUUUGAGCCAAAUAAUUAUUUUCUGAGCAAUUUGGCGACAAUCUACUGCCACAACUUGUCACUAAGUUUCUGAGUAACUUGUAGGACAACUUAUGGAAAUGCCACCUUUUGCGGCCAACUUGGCGACAAGUUGCGGCAGUAGGUUGUCGACAAGUUGCGGCCAACUUGGCUAUCAGGGAGGGAAGUUAAGGUAGUACGCUGUCGAUAUAUUACCGUCAACUUGGAUAUCAGGGUACGAUAAAAUUCGAUUCUCGAUAGUGAAGAAAUCUCAUGUCAUAAACAUUAUCACAGUUUUCUGAUAGUUUCUACAGAAGGAAAGUUCUCUUAUGAAAUUAAUAUAGGAAACGUUUGUAACUACGCUAAUUUCGUAUAUUGUCGAUAAUCCGAAAUAAUUCAGUUUUAAUUUUAUCAGCUAUAGUCAUAAAUCAAUCAAUUGUUCACAUAUUAUUCUGAAGACUUAAGUGAACACAUACUUCAUAAAUAAAAACUAUUUCAUAUGAUCGUCUUUAUUAUUAAUAGUAAUUUUAUUAUUGUACUUAAGGGCAAAUUUUUUUCAAAUCUUAUACUCUAAAUUUUUGCUUUACUCAUACAAUAGAUAAAAAAUCAGAACAAGUCCUCGGAAACAAAUGUUAAUUUUUGAAAACACGGAAAUUUUUCCUUCCUAAGAUUCAAAUUAAAAAUAAAGUAAUCAAUUUUCCACCGGUUUCAAAUCUCUUUCAAGUAUUCAUUCAUUUUGAAAUGACUCAAUUUCCAUACUCACGAAUUUAAGACAUUAAAUAAAUAAAUUAAUUAAUGCGCUAAUAAAAAAAUUAUACCUACACCAAAUUAUUAAAUAAUUUUGAAAGCAUAAAAUAUUUCACACAGAAAAAAUUCAUCAAAUCAAUUUGAUAUCCACUCAUAAUUAAAUCUAUACAGUGGCAUUGGGCUUGGAGCUGCGAAAAUGUUAGUCAUUAAGAAAGACCCUCUAUUAAAAAGUAUCUUUUUUUUUCGUUCAUUUUUCUCAUCCAACCUUUCAUCUACUGGUACUCGAUUGAAAAGGAACAUACGUAUAUAUGAAUAUAUAUACAUACCUAUGUACGCAUCCAAAAGAAACAAAAAGGACAAGUGGGUCCGGCUUUGUUGAUUCAAGGUGAUAAUUCUAGCCUGUGAAACUUUUUUUCUUGCCCUACUCAUCGAACGUAGACGAUAGACAGUCAUAAUAAUAUAAAAAAAUGUAUAUAUAUAUAUAUAGAUAUAUAUAAACGAAAACUAAAGACGGAAUAUUCAUAAUUAUAGAUCAGUAGUCUUGACUAGUCAAUUUUCAAUUUAAUAAAUACCUUUGUAGAUAAAUAAAUAAUUUGUUAUUUUAUUUUCAAUACUUAAAAAUUUUAACGAUUAAAAAAUACUUGAAUCCAUGAGCACCGACUAUUACUUUUUUAACUUGAGAGAUCGUUUUUUGCGAUUUCAUACUAAAAACUCCAUAUGCUGUGGGCUUUCUCGAUCCUCGCAUUUGGGAUUCCAGAUUGAGAGAUAUCAUUCUCUCUCUACACUACACUUUAUAUAUAUAUAUGUAUAUAUACAUACCAAAUAUCCCAAAUAAAUCGAUAGGUUUUUGAGAGUUAAGUCUCCUGGGUUGUUUCUCUGCUCCCAGUUUAACAUUCGGCCUAUGGAAAAACACCUCCGACUUAAUUGCCAGCAGCAGUUGUUGAUACCAAAUAAAAGAUAAAAAUGUGUAAAAAAAUUUUAAAACCAAAAAAAAAUUGAGAUAAAAAAAUUACUCAGUAUAAUUUCAUUAAAUUAAUUUUUGAGUCAAGAGAUGACUAUUAAUUGAGAUAAAAUAAUAAUUGUGCUUUUGAAAAAGUAAAUUCGAUAGUGAAUAGUCGUUGACAAAUAAAUAAUUAACUUUGAAUCAAUUAGCAAAUACUUCUUAUAGUCAGUUAUAAAAAAUAUGCAGGUAUAAUGUAUAAGUAUGAAAAAUAUGUGGUAAGCUAAUUGGUAAUGAUUCUUCUAAAAAGGGGUCAGACACCUGCACUCCCUUGAAGGGAAGGUGCCUUGAAACAACUUUCAAUAGGUGUUAGAUUUUUUAAAUAUUUAUACGACAGCCGCAAGUACCAAAAUUAUUAUUUUAUUUAAAUUUCUCUAAGGGGCUGCUACGGUUCAUUUUAAAAAACGAAAGGGUACAAAAGAUGCG